ensembl:lncRNA
AAACUGCAAUUUAAGUGCAUCAUGCAAUUUUUAUUCAUUUAAGGUCAGCAACAAUGGCAGGUAACAGUGCACGCCUUUGAGUAAAAUAAAAGUUUGCAUAACAGCACCAUUAAAGUACGAGUGUUAGUUAAUCAAGGGCUUGUCUACAUAUUGCCAGUUGUUGGCUGACCAUGAGAACCACCAUCAGGAAAUGUAGCGAGGAAACAUUCACUUUUUGGUGUACAUUCUAAAACAUGGCUCAUCUAGCUUUUUUAGAUAUUAUUAACCUUUAUAAAUAUAGUUCAUAAAUGUAUCUCUAAUAGAAAGGAGGUUGAAAAACCCAGUGUUGCAGCACCUAUUUGAUCUUUGAUAACUGAAGUUAACACAAGGCCACAUCACAAAAGGCCCUUUGUGUUUACAUGAACAUUCAAAUUCAGAGCAUAUUGAUCAAAUAUCCACAGCUCAUAUAUUAAGUCAUUAAUGUCUCACGCAACACAAGGUGAAAGACCUCCUUCGACCUAGUUAUUUCCUGUUAAGAAUAAUGUGUGCAUGUAACAUUUUAAGUGCUCUAAUGUAAGUGUUUGUCAUAUCGACAAAAUUGACAAGGCAUCUAGCAGUAAAAGCGUCUCUUAUGGCAGGUUAAAAAAUCAUCCAACAAUAUAUUUGGCAAGAAAUAUUUGGCAAAAAAAGGAAUGGAGGGCUGUGUUCAAAAAGCGAUUUACCAAGUAUUCCUUCUUAAUGCUUAGUAAUGAGAGUAGUGUGGAAAUUAGACAUCUGAGAUGCUUUUGUAUCAUGAAAAGGCAGCGGACAAGAGUUGAUCUUUGGUUAAAAUGGGACGGGUGCAGUGUCAGUUCAGCCAUUUAAUUCGACAAUUGACAUUCCAGGAAGGCUGCAGCGUGUAAGCUGGUGUAUUGGUGGAGUGCUGUGGGGCCGUAAUUAUUCAGUAGUAAAACCAAAGGCUGUUUCUCUAGCUUAUCGAACAGCAGGUGCAGUGGUGAUCAAGGAGAACAUCUGGAGAUUGACACCGGGAUUCCACCGGACGCCGUUAGGUAGCGUGGGGGAACAUAAUUGGUAUGAAACAACUAUUGGAACACAGCCCCAGAAUGCCCAGAAACCCUACAUACUUUUACAACAUUCAUUUUCUUGAUGUUGAUGUAUGGCUUAUCUGAUGAAAUACUUUAAAGUAAAAAACAAUAUGAGCAUGCAACAAAGGGAGGGACUACUUGGCUACUUCAUUGCAUGUUUCCCUUUUCUUCUCCCUUUGCUGAAAAUGUUCUGAAAUUAGCAUACUGAACUCUGAACUAGGACCCGACCGAUAUUGAUUUUUGAGUGCCGAUGCCGAUUAUUUUCAGAGAAAAAUUACGAUUGAAUCGGGCGAUUAAAAAAAAAAAAUAAUAAUAAUAAUAAAGCAUAUAAAACGUAGUUUUUGAUACCUUAAAUAUACUUUAAACACUUUUGACGAAUAUGUGAAUUGAAUGCAGAACCUUUGAGUGUUUUAGAAUACAUUUACAGUCAAAAAUGAGUGUAAUGUAAAAUGUAAAAUAAAUAACUAACUCCUAAUGUGCUGCGCUCGUGAGCAGUGACUAACACGUGCGUGCUGAGCAGUAUGGUCUCACCGUUAAGAGUCCACAGUAUAACAAAUUAACAUGGCCUGGGACCUAAAGAAAAACAGGCACAACAUGCUCAAACAACGCGUCUUGUGUAAAUUGGUGAGGUGAGCGCGCAGCUGCCUGAGCGAGCGUGCUUUCAUGUUGUACGGUAAAAUUCAAUCUCCUCUUUUUUUACUCCAGCUAAAGUUGUUAGUUAGCAAGGCGAGAAGGAGCGCAAUCUGCAGGAUACUAAGCGCAAUAACAUUUUAAUAAAAAAAAAUAUAUAUAAAAAAAAAAUCGGUUGUAAUCGGCGUCUUUUUGGCCGAUGCCGAUUAUUUUCAAAAAGGCUAUAAUCGGCCGAUUAAAUCGGCAGGCCGAUGAAUCGGUCGGGCCCUACUCUGAACAGCCUUCCUAUAACAUUAUGAACAGAGACGUGCAAGGGAGGAUAUAAAGUGCAGCAGAAAGAGAUAGAAUAAAUAAAAACCUCCUCCGCUUCGUCAAGGACAUAUUGCUGGGAGUGGAACGACUCGUGCUCAGUGGUCGGUGGAGCUUCACUCAUGGUUCACACUGGAUGUGGUUGCAGUGGUUACCUCUGCUACUCUUGCACAGUAGGACGAUUAAAGCCAAGAACACCACCAGCAGGACAGCAGCUAAAAUACCUACCAUAAUAGAGACGUGGUGACUGAUUGUGAUGGUUCGUUUUGACUGAUUUGACAAUCCCUUCUGGAGUCACUGGGCUUUUGUCCGUGUUUGCGGUGUAAUCAGUAAUCUUCUCCCACUUUACGUUUCCGUCCGAAUCC